GACGAACGCUGGCGGCGUGCUUAACACAUGCAAGUCGAACGGAAAGGCCCUGCUUUUGUGGGGUGCUCGAGUGGCGAACGGGUGAGUAACACGUGAGUAACCUGCCCUUGACUUUGGGAUAACUUCAGGAAACUGGGGCUAAUACCGGAUAGGAGCUCCUGCUGCAUGGUGGGGGUUGGAAAGUUUCGGCGGUUGGGGAUGGACUCGCGGCUUAUCAGCUUGUUGGUGGGGUAGUGGCUUACCAAGGCUUUGAUGGGUAGCCGGCCUGAGAGGGUGACCGGCCACAUUGGGACUGAGAUACGGCCCAGACUCCUACGGGAGGCAGCAGUGGGGAAUAUUGCACAAUGGGCGGAAGCCUGAUGCAGCAACGCCGCGUGCGGGAUGACGGCCUUCGGGUGGUAAACCGCUUUCGCCUGUGACGAAGCGUGAGUGACGGUAAUGGGUAAAGAAGCACCGGCGAACUACGU
rnacentral:rRNA from 1 species